UUCGAGUGGCGGACGGGUGAGUAACGCGUGGGUAACCUGCCUUACACAGGGGGAUAACACCUGGAAACAGGUGCUAAUACCGCAUAAGCGCACAGGGCCGCAUGGCCCGGUGUGAAAAACUCCGGUGGUGUAAGAUGGACCCGCGUCUGAUUAGCUUGUUGGCGGGGUAGGGGCCCACCAAGGCGACGAUCAGUAGCCGGCCUGAGAGGGUGGACGGCCACAUUGGGACUGAGAUACGGCCCAGACUCCUACGGAAGGCAGCAG
rnacentral:rRNA from 1 species